UUGAGUGCGAUGAUAGAGAUAGUAUGUAGAUCAACCUUACAGGGAGAAAACACCUUGGAUCGAUUAUGAUCCAAGACUGGAAGUGUUUUUAAGUGAUUGACUACUUAUGUUCACUCUGGAGCUGUCUCUUUGAACAGAAUGGUUACCACGUUCUUAGUAGGAGGGACCGGUUAUACGCGACCGAUAUCAGUUUUAGAGUGAAAAAGCAAAUGCUUUUUAAUAAGGGUGGUACCGCGAAAUCUCUCGUCCCUUGG
rnacentral:ncRNA from 1 species